GCCGCCGUAGCUCAGCGGUAGAGCGAUCGGCUGUUAACCGAAAGGUCCGCGGUUCGAAUCCGCGCGGCGGCG
rnacentral:tRNA from 2 species